rnacentral:rRNA from 1 species
UCUGGUAUUGAUUGGUGCUUGCAUCAUGAUUUACAUUUGAGUGAGUGGCGAACUGGUGAGUAACACGUGGGAAACCUGCCCAGAAGCGGGGGAUAACACCUGGAAACAGAUGCUAAUACCGCAUAACAACUUGGACCGCAUGGUCCGAGCUUGAAAGAUGGCUUCGGCUAUCACUUUUGGAUGGUCCCGCGGCGUAUUAGCUAGAUGGUGGGGUAACGGCUCACCAUGGCAAUGAUACGUAGCCGACCUGAGAGGGUAAUCGGCCACAUUGGGACUGAGACACGGCCCAAACUCCUACGGGAGGCAGCAGUAGGGAAUCUUCCACAAUGGACGAAAGUCUGAUGGAGCAACGCCGCGUGAGUGAAGAAGGGUUUCGGCUCGUAAAACUCUGUUGUUAAAGAAGAACAUAUCUGAGAGUAACUGUUCAGGUAUUGACGGUAUUUAACCAGAAAGCCACGGCUAACUACGUGCCAGCAGCCGCGGUAAUACGUAGGUGGCAAGCGUUGUCCGGAUUUAUUGGGCGUAAAGCGAGCGCAGGCGGUUUUUUAAGUCUGAUGUGAAAGCCUUCGGCUCAACCGAAGAAGUGCAUCGGAAACUG